GAACGCUGGCGGCGUGCCUAAUACAUGCAAGUCGAACGCACAGCGAAAGGUGCUUGCACCUUUCAAGUGAGUGGCGAACGGGUGAGUAACACGUGGACAACCUGCCUCAAGGCUGGGGAUAACAUUUGGAAACAGAUGCUAAUACCGAAUGAAACUUAGUGUCGCAUGAUACGAAGUUAAAAGGCGCUUUGGCGUCACCUAGAGAUGGAUCCGCGGUGCAUUAGUUAGUUGGUGGGGUAAAGGCCUACCAAGACAAUGAUGCAUAGCCGAGUUGAGAGACUGAUCGGCCACAUUGGGACUGAGACACGGCCCAAACUCCUACGGGAGGCUGCAGUAGGGAAUCUUCCACAAUGGGCGAAAGCCUGAUGGAGCAACGCCGCGUGUGUGAUGAAGGCUUUCGGGUCGUAAAGCACUGUUGUAUGGGAAGAACAGCUAGAAUAGGGAAUGAUUUUAGUUUGACGGUACCAUACCAGAAAGGGACGGCUAAAUACGUGCCAGCAGCCGCGGUAAUACGUAUGUCCCGAGCGUUAUCCGGAUUUAUUGGGCGUAAAGCGAGCGCAGACGGUUGAUUAAGUCUGAUGUGAAAGCCCGGAGCUCAACUCCGGAAUGGCAUUGGAAACUGGUUAACUUGAGUGCAGUAGAGGUAAGUGGAACUCCAUGUGUAGCGGUGGAAUGCGUAGAUAUAUGGAAGAACACCAGUGGCGAAGGCGGCUUACUGGACUGUAACUGACGUUGAGGCUCGAAAGUGUGGGUAGCAAACAGGAUUAGAUACCCUGGUAGUCCACACCGUAAACGAUGAACACUAGGUGUUAGGAGGUUUCCGCCUCUUAGUGCCGAAGCUAACGCAUUAAGUGUUCCGCCUGGGGAGUACGACCGCAAGGUUGAAACUCAAAGGAAUUGACGGGGACCCGCACAAGCGGUGGAGCAUGUGGUUUAAUUCGAAGCAACGCGAAGAACCUUACCAGGUCUUGACAUCCUUUGAAGCUUUUAGAGAUAGAAGUGUUCUCUUCGGAGACAAAGUGACAGGUGGUGCAUGGUCGUCGUCAGCUCGUGUCGUGAGAUGUUGGGUUAAGUCCCGCAACGAGCGCAACCCUUAUUGUUAGUUGCCAGCAUUCAGAUGGGCACUCUAGCGAGACUGCCGGUGACAAACCGGAGGAAGGCGGGGACGACGUCAGAUCAUCAUGCCCCUUAUGACCUGGGCUACACACGUGCUACAAUGGCGUAUACAACGAGUUGCCAACCCGCGAGGGUGAGCUAAUCUCUUAAAGUACGUCUCAGUUCGGAUUGUAGUCUGCAACUCGACUACAUGAAGUCGGAAUCGCUAGUAAUCGCGGAUCAGCACGCCGCGGUGAAUACGUUCCCGGGUCUUGUACACACCGCCCGUCACACCAUGGGAGUUUGUAAUGCCCAAAGCCGGUGGCCUAACCUUUUAGGAAGGAGCCGUCUAAGGCAGGACAGAUGACUGGGG
rnacentral:rRNA from 1 species